GGAGGAACCCUUGAGAUCGCAAGACCUUGCGCUCAUUGAGCGGCCGAUCCUUGAUUAGCUAGUUGGUGAGGUAAAGGCUUACCAAGGCGACGAUCAGUAGCUGGUCUGAGAGGACGACCAGCCACACUGGGACUGAGACACGGCCCAGACUCCUACGGGAGGCAGCAGUGGGGAAUUUUGGACAAUGGGGGAAACCCUGAUCCAGCCAUGCCGCGUGAGUGAAGAAGGCCUUCGGGUUGUAAAGCUCUUUCAGCCGGAACGAAACAGUCACGGAUAAUACUUUUUAUUACUGACGGUACCGGAAGAAGAAGCACCGGCUAACUACGUGCCAGCAGCCGCGGUAAUACGUAGGGUGCGAGCGUUAAUCGGAAUUACUGGGCGUAAAGCGUGCGCAGGCGGUUUUGUAAGUCAGAUGUGAAAUCCCCGGGCUUAACCUGGGAACUGCGUUUGAAACUACAAGGCUAGAAGGGGAAAAA
rnacentral:rRNA from 1 species